UUCAGUUCUCAGGGCGGGUGAAAGUCCCCACCGGCGGUAAGGGCCUCGGCCCGAGCCCGCGAGCGCCUUUAGCGCGCCCAUGGGGGGGAGGGGUCAGCAGAUCAGGUGCGAUGCCGGAGCCGACGGUCAUAGUCCGGAUGAAAGAGAAUGAUC
rnacentral:ncRNA from 2 species